rnacentral:rRNA from 1 species
UACGUAGGGUGCAAGCGUUAAUCGGAAUUACUGGGCGUAAAGGGCGCGUAGGCGGUUUGUACAGUCAGAUGUGAAAGCCCCGGGCUUAACCUGGGAACUGCGUUUGAAACUGGGAGACUUGAGUGUGGCAGAGGGGGGUGGAAUUCCACGUGUAGCAGUGAAAUGCGUAGAUAUGUGGAGGAACACCGAUGGCGAAGGCAGCCCCCUGGGUCAACACUGACGCUCAUGCACGAAAGCGUGGGGAGCAAACAGG